GAAUAAAGGCUUAUGGUGAAUCAAUUGAUAUUUAAAGGCGAUAAUGGGCGUAGUUACUAGCGAUAUGCUUUGGGGAACUAGAAACUAGUUAUGAUCCAGAGGUUCCCUAUUAGGUAAACCUAUUUAACAUCAUUGAAUUUUUAAAUGUGUGUUGUGAACGUGGUGAACUGAAACAUCUUAGUAACCAUAGGAAAAAAAAGCAAUAGCGAUUUCCUUAUUAGCGGCGAGCUAACAGGAGGAUGUCUAAACCUAUAUGGGUGUUGUGGGUAAUUAAUAUGAUUUAAUUAAUUUUUCUUGAAACUUUUGAAAUGAGUACCUUAGAUGGUUGUAAGUCCAGUAAAGAAUUUGAGAUAAUGUGUCAUUACUUUCCCGAGUAGCAUAGAGCACGAGAAAUUCUGUGUGAAUCUGCGAGGACCACCUCGUAAGGCAAUUAAUACUUUUAAAUAAUCGAUAGUGAAUUAGUACCGUGAGGGAAUUUUGAAAAGAACCUUGAAAAGGGAGUGAAAUAGAACGUGAAAUCAUAAGCUUACAAGCAAUGGGAGAACUAGUUAAAGUUUGACCUUGUGCCUGUUGAAGAAUGCGCCGGCGACUUAUUUAUACUGGCAAGGUUAAGAUUUUUUCUAUCGCAACCGUAGUUAACUCGAGUUUUAAAGAGCGUAAAGUCAGUAUUUAUAGACCCGAACCCGGGUGAUCUAAUCAUGACCAGGAUGAAGUUUCGUUAAAAAGGAAUUGGAGGUCCGAACCCACCAAUGUUGAAAAAUUGGGGGAUGAGUUUUGAUUAGCGGAGAAAUUCCAAUCGAACUCGGAGCUAGCUGGAUCUCUUCGAAAUGCGUUGAGGCGCAGCGAUAAAAUAUGUGUAUUUAAAGGUAGAGCACUGUUUCGACGCGGGCUUUUAUUAGUACUAAGUUGUGGCAAACUUUGAAUUGUAAGUAUAUGUACAUUUUAUACGUUAGACUGUGAGGGAUAAGCUUCAUGGUCAAGAGAGAAACAGCUCAGACUAUUGGAUAAGGCCCCUAAAUAUUUACUAAGUGAUAAAGGAUGUUAAUGUACAUAGACAAUCAGAAGGUUAGCUUAGAAGCAGCGAAUUUUUCCUUUAAAAAGUGCGUAAUAGCUUACUGAUCAAGUGCCUUUGCGCCGAAAAUUAACGGGACUAAGUAAAUUGCCGAAGCCGUAGAAUUUGAAUUAUUGGUAGAAGAGCGUUCUGUUUUGGGGGAAGCAUUAAUGAAAAUCAUUGUGGACAAUACAGAAGUGAGAAUGUCGGCUUAAGUAACGAAAACAUUGGUGAGAAUCCAAUGCUCCGUAAACUCAAGGGUUCCUUUGGUAGGUUCGUCCACGAAGGGUAAGUCAGAGUCUAAGGCUUAGCUAAAUUGCAAUGCUGAUGGUUGACAGGUUAAUAUUCCUGUACUAUAAAUCAUAUAAAUUUUAAGGGUUAAGAGUGACGAAGAAGGUUAAGCUAGUCAAUUUUUGGUUUUUGAUUUAAUAUUUUUACAUGUUGACUAACAUUAGAAAAGAUGUUGGGAAUGAAGAAAUAGAAUACGAUAUUACACUAUGGUGUUCGAAGUAGUUACAUCAUGCUUCCAGGAAAAACUCUAGUAACAUAAAUAAAGAUUUAUAUCUGUACCUUAGACCGACACAGGUGGGUUUGUAAAGUGUACAAAGGAGCGCGAGAUAACACGUUCUAAGGAACUCGGCAAAAUAGCUCUGUAACUUCGGGAGAAAGAGUGCCUUUAUUUAAUAGUAAAGGUUGCAGUUAAAUGACCUAUGCGACUGUUUAACAAAGUGCGACUUGAAAAGGGUUGUUAUUCAUUAAGGAUAAUUCCAUAUUAUCCAAACCAUUCUUCCAUUGUUACUCAAAGCCCUCAAAAGCCUAGGGGAUGAUCUUGAUCAUUAGGAUGGUAACCAAAGACAAUAAGCGGAGGAAGAACGAGCCCCAGAACCCAUCUCUAGGGAGGCAAGGCAGGAGGUAAGAUACUAAACACGGGCCUGACAGGAUCGGGCUUUGAUUCGGAUGGUCAGAACCAGCAAAUCCGUUAAUUGAUAGGUAAAGCUUCGUUCAGACAGUGGUCACGGUAAAAUUAGAGAUUUUCGUGGCAUCACAAAAUAUAGGAUAAAAUGCAUAUAUUAAAAAGCAUGAAUGUGUCACCUAGUGAAUAGGUGCCUAAUACUAGGUAUUAGGUAGCAUGAGUUCGUAGAUUGACUGCGAAAGAUGGAAUGCGCGAAGGCACACGGGGAAUAACGGAGACCAAGAGCGUUUAGUGAGGAAUAACGAUCAACAAUGGAACCCCUCAGGUUGGGCCAGAAAUAGCCCAGGCGAGCCAGCUUAAGCCUUAGCAGGGAGAGAAGAUGGAUGAAAAAAGUAAAAGCCCAGAUUGAAUAAACAAUCAUCGACUGAAAAGGUAAGGAUAUAAUAAUCCGGGAUAAGCCAACUUCAUUCGCUGGGGAUUUUAUAUAGGAAACGGAAAAAUGGAGUAAUCUUAAUUCAACCAAUUAACAGGAAGUGUUAAUGGUAACCAUACAACCAUAGAGUCUGGACAUCAUAAAUAUGAUGGAUUUUGACAAAAAAAAUGUCAGCAAAAGGAAUAAUUCCAAUAAAAAGUACGGUCCCAUGGGCGCCAUCUGAGGAUAUUAUUCGUAUAUAGAUUCUCACGGGCAGAUCGUCAUUGAAAGUUCAAGUUUGAACACAGCAAGUCUUAUAUUUGGAAUUUCUCUUAAGAACGCUAUCUUAGGAAAAAUUCGUAACAUUCCACUAGAUAAAUCAGUUGUCGGAAUCGAUGUCAACAAGUAUCUGUAUCAUAAUGAUAAAGGCUAUCUUAGUGACGAAGUUUAUGAUACCAUGUUUCUCAAUAAAAUUUGUGAACAUUUCGACUUAAUCUGUGAAACUUUGAAUACAAAUGAAAUCCAAUUGGUUUUGGAAGAAUAAUAAUAAAUUAUUUAAAUAAUUUAAAUAGUAUAUAAUUAAUAGUUUAUAUAAUAAUAACUACAUUUAGAAUUGAAGUUUUAUUUAUAUAGUAGACAAAUAUAUGACAUCAAUGAGUCCUUCGAAUAAAAAGAUUACAAAGUUUGAUCGCGAAACGUCUUACUUUAACUUACCAAUAAUACAAGAUUUUAUAUCAGGCAUCCCAACCAAACCUUCAAAAUUGAAGGCCAAGGAUAAAGAAAAAAUGGGACCGUUUGAGAGAUUUUGGGAUAUUGUAGACUGGAAAAAAAUGGAUCUUAUAAUUUAUAGAACCCAACAUCAAAUAUAUAGUUUGCCAAACAACUGCAUAAACUUCCAGGAUGAAAUCAUAAACUCUAACAUUGCUAAAUUAUUAGCAGUUAGAAGAGUUGGUUUCAUAAAUAGAGGAAGAAAAACGGCAGGACUCGAUGGUUUUAAAAAACCCACAAAAAUGGGAGCAAUAAUCAUCGCCUCAAAAUUAAAGGUUGACGGUAAGGCAACCAAUAUUAAGAGGGUUUGGAUAUCCAAGCCAAAAACUAAGGAAAAACGCCCCUUAGGAAUACCAACAUUUCGAGACAGAGCAAAGCAAAUGUUAGUAAAAAUGGCAUUAGAACCCCAAUGGGAAGCUUUCUUUGAUCCGAGAAGUUUUGGUUUUAGGCCUGGAAGAAAAUGCCAUGACGCUACUUGGAAUAUAAGAAACGUCCUUAGAACAGGACCAAGAUAUAUUUACGACGCUGAUAUUGAAAAAUGCUUCGAUAAAAUAUCUCAUAAUUAUUUAAUUGAAAAAAUUAAAUCAAAAGGUAUAGAUGAAUUUCAUCCUAUUACAUUACAAUUGAGAUCUUGGUUAAGAGCUGGAAUUCUUGAUCCCAAAGAAGAACAUAUUAUAUAUCAGGAAGCUGGUACAGCCCAAGGUGGAGUUAUCUCUCCCCUGCUAUGUAAUAUUGCACUCCAUGGGAUGCAUGAAUAUAUAAUUGAAAACCUGAAGUUGAAAAAGGUCAGAUAUAACCAAAUCAUUUCGGUAAAAUUAUAUACAUAUGCUGAUGAUUUAAUACUAAUAUGUCGCCAUAAAAGAGUAUUAUUUUUAUGUAUAGCUUUAAUUGAUGAAUUUCUAGAAAAAAUAGGUCUUAAUAUAAAGGCUAAAAAGACAAGGAAAGUUCAUACAACAAAUAAAGCUAUCACAUAUACAAUAAGCCUUAUUGAUAAGAUCGAUCAAGAUGGUAAAUAUAUCUUUAAAAAAGAUGAAAUUUAUCUUCCUGUUAGAUAUGGUGUAAAACACAGAAUACCCGUAACGAAUAGUUUUAAUUUCUUAGGAUUUAAGUUUUUCUGCUAUAACGUUGGAAAACAUAGACUAAUUAAUUUAGGUAAAGGUGCUUUCUCCCAUGUCAACAUAUUAGUAACACCAACAAUAGAUUCCAUGAAAAAGCAUUUCUCCGUUGUUCGAAAAAUACUACGUAGCUGCACAACUGCUCUAAUGGUGAUAAAGAAAGUAUCCCCUAUUAUAAGAGGAUGGUUAAACUACUACUCAAAAUCUGAUGCAAGGACAGCUGGUCUUGUAGGACUUCUUCGAACACGGAUGAAUCUGAUACUUCUAAAUUGGCAAAAAAGAGUAUUUAACACAAGAAAGCGUAAAUCAAGUUUAUGGGUAAGUGUAAAAGGUGACAAGUGGAGAUUUUAUGCUGAAAGACCGAAAGAUGAUAAAGAUGAAAAUCUAACCCAAUCUCAAAAUCCUGAAAAAAUAUCCAUCUCCUCCAAUAAAAGCAAGAAGACCAAAUUAAAGGAUACAGAUGAAAAUCUUGAUAACAAAAUUUUAUUGCCAUCUCAUUCAGAGCCAAAUUAUAGCCUAAUCAGCUAUAAACCGAUUAGAGGAAAAUCUUCCUUCUAUGAUGGGGACAUUGAAUAUUGGUCGAUAAAACUGAAAACAAUAUUAAAUUUAAGUCCAAAAUUUACAAAGAUCCUUGCAAGACAACACGCUAUAUGCCCUGAAUGUGGUAUAAAAAUUAACAUAUUUGAUGAUCCAGUUGAAAGUACCAUAAAAGUUGGUAAAAAAAAUAAAGACACCGUUUUGCAUAAAGCGUGCAAAACAAGUUUCACCUAUAAGAAUAAAUAAUAUUCAUUAUAAAUACCCAGAGUAGCCGUAUGACAUUCGUGAGAGUCACGUACGGUUUCGGAGUAGAGGGAGUAGCUCUCCCUACUAUAAUAACACAGGUCUCUGUUAAGUUGAAGAAACAAUAUAUGGGGGCUGAUGCCUGCCCAGUGCCGGAAGGUUAAUGAAGUUUGUUAGUAUUAUAAUACAAAGCUUAUGACUUAAGCCCCGGUGAACGGCGGCAGUAACUAUAACUGUCCAAAGGUAGCGAAAUUCAUUGUCAGGUAAGUUCUGACCCGCACGAAAGGCGUCACGAUAUAGGUACUGUCUCGGAACGUGACUCGGUGAAAUAGAAUUGACUGUGAAGAUGCGGUCUAUUUCCACUUGGACAGAAAGACCCUAUGAAGCUUUACUAUUCUUUGACAUUGUUUGCGAUUCUUUUUUGCGCAGUAUAGGUGGGAGACUGUGAUUUACUUUUUUUGGGGGGUAAUGAGUCGAAAUUUGAGAUACCACUCUUUAAAGAGUUGGAAACUAAUGAUAUUAAAUAAAUAUUUGACAUUUUCAGGUUGGUAGUUUUGCUGGGGCGGUAGCCUCCUAAAAGGUAACGGAGGCGUGCAAUGGUUUUCUCAAUCUGGAUGGAAAUCGGAUGAAGAGCAUAAAGGUAUAAGGAAGCUUGACUGUGAGACAGAUAAGUCGAACAGGGACGAAAGUCGGUCUUAGUGAUCCGACAGUUCUGAGUGGAAAGGCUGUCGCUAAACAGAUAAAAGUUACUCUAGGGAUAACAGGCUGAUCUCCCCCAAGAGUUCACAUCGACGGGGAGGUUUGGCACCUCGAUGUCGGCUCAUCGCAUCCUGGGGCAGUAGUAUGUCCCAAGGGUUGGGCUGUUCGCCCAUUAAAGCGGUACGUGAGCUGGGUUCAGAACGUCGAGAGACAGUUCGGUCCAUAUCCGGUGGAAAACGUUAGAGUAUUGAGAACAUUUUUCCUUAGUACGAGAGGACCAGGAAAAACGCACCACUAGUGUACCAGUUUUUGUACCAACAGAAUACGCUGGGUAGUUAUGUGUGGAGUGGAUAAUUGCUGAAAGCAUAUAAGUAAGAAGCCUAGUUCAAGAUGAGUACUCUUUUUAGGUCACGAUAAGAUUAAUCGUUUAAAAUAGGUAUUAAGUGUACAAUUUGUAAAGAUUUUAGCUGAAAUAUACUAAAUGACCAAAAAUUUUAUCCUA
rnacentral:rRNA from 1 species